AUUAAUGCUAUGAAGAGAAGAGUAAACUAUUGAUGUCUUUUACAGAGAACUCCUAAAUGCUGAGAAGGAGUAAAGAAUAAGUAGUUGAACAUGGUCUUGGAGCGUUCGUACCAAAUAUUCUAUAAAAGUUUAUAGAUAUAGGCUACGACGGGUGCACCCGUUACAGUGCCAGAGUAUAAUUAGAAUCCAUUUAUUCUAACGUACUUGUUGAGGCUGAUGUCGUGAGUCAUCGGUGAAUCGGGGUGGUAACACGGAGUAUAAUGCUCUCGUCCCCAGG
rnacentral:ncRNA from 1 species